rnacentral:rRNA from 1 species
GUGCCAGCAGCCGCGGUAAGACGGAGGAUGCAAGUGUUAUCCGGAAUCACUGGGCGUAAAGCGCCUGUAGGUUGCUUAAUAAGUCUGUUGUUAAAAGUUUAGGGCUCAACCCUAAAAUGUCGAUCGAUACUGUUGUGACUAGGAUACGGCAGAGGUGAAUGGAAUUCCGAGUGUAGCGGUGAAAUGCGUAGAUAUUCGGAGGAACACCAAUUGCGAAGGCAGUUCACUGGACCGUGAUCGACGCUGAGGAGCGAAAGCUAGGGGAGCAAACAGGAUUAGAUA